GUCAGCGCGGGGGGCGGGCGGGGGCAGCCUGCAGCCCUUUGCUCGCUGCCUCCAGCCGGCCUAUGCCGCCCUGCAGCCUUUGGGGUUGGUCGUCGCGUUGAUAACGCUUUACAGGGGUUAAAUAAUGUAAAAACGCAGCUUUUAUUAUUAUUAUUAUUAUUUUGUUUGUUUGAGAACGAGCUAAAAUCCUUGAUCCUCUUCUUUCUUGUAUUCAUCAGGGCUUCUCAAAGCACUUGUGUGCUCCCUGUCGCCAAGUCAUCGCAGGCCUGGAGUCUGAAUUGGCCAGAAGCAGAGCGACCGGAUGCUGACGAGAGGAGUAGACCGAAAUGACAUGCUGAGCAUACAGCGGCUGAGGCAGGCGGGAGGAGCAGCAGGGCACCAGGAGCAAGGAUGAGGACUCCGAGCUGCGGAGAGGAAAGAAGAGAGCACCCGAAGGCAUCGACCUUGCUCUGAAGAGGAAGGUGUAUGCUAAUGAUUAACUUCAAGCAAGGCCAACAAUGGGAAGAAAUCUGUCCUUGGAGUGAGAAGGAAAGGGGAGUGCAAGAGCAAUCCGCGCCUGAGAGACUGAGCCAAGUCACUGAGAGGCCAGGGCAGAGGGAGGAGAGAGAAGAAGAGAAGCCAGCCAAAGACAGAAACCAGCAGAGUGAGUUUCCCUUGUGUUUGCAUAAGUUAGCACCUGUAUCACUUGCAGCAGGAGAAGAGUGUGCAUGGUGGGGUGCGGAGGCCUUUCCCUGGGAAAUACAAGGGUCGCUGUUUUGCAUAUGAACGAGGCCUGAUGAUAGAAAAUGCCUCCAGUUUUAUGCUAAUGCUGAAGAACUUGUGCUGCUGAUGCACUGAAAGUAGCCUUGCCCUUGGCAGAAGGACCUACUGUUAUUUCUUAGAUUUCCCUGCAGGAUGUCCGCCCAUCUCCAUUAGAAUACCACUUCCACUUGAAGUUCAUUGUUUGCUUCAAAUGCCCCUGAGGAAAGACUGAUACCUGUAGGUAGAUGAAGCGCAAUCGCUUUGCCACCUAGCUGUAGUGGUUGGUUGCAGUGUGUUAGUGUGGAGCUAUUGUACAAGUUUCUUGCCACAAUUUGCAACAAUAUGCUAAUAAAUUGUAAAACUACCGG